rnacentral:rRNA from 1 species
UCAGACGAUGCGUCAUGCAUAUCAAUAAGCGGAGGAAAAGAAACUAACAAGGAUUCCCCUAGUAACGGCGAGUGAAGCGGGAAGAGCUCAAAUUUGAAAUCUUGAAAGGUCACCUUUCACGAAUUGUAGUUUAAAGAAGUGUUUUCUGUUACGAUCGUAAUAUAAGUUCUUUGGAAUAGGACAUCACAGAGGGUGAGAAUCCCGUCUAUGAUUGCGAUUUGUAGCUUUGUGAUACACUUUCAAAGAGUCGGGUUGUUUGGGAAUGCAGCCCAAAACGGGAGGUAAAUUUCUUCUAAGGCUAAAUAUUGGUGAGAGACCGAUAGCGAACAAGCUACCGUGAGGGAAAGAUGAAAAGAACUUUGAAAAGAGAGUUAAAUAGUACGUGAAAUUGUCAAAAGGGAAGCGUUUAACACCAGUGUUGUUUUCUGAAAAUCAACCUCUGUUAGCUUUAUGCAUGUUUGUUUAGACCUAAUCAGCUAUCUUGCAUGUUCUAUUGUUUGCAGUGGUGCACUUUUCAGUUUACAGGUCAACAUCAGUUUUUUUUACCGUAAAAAAGUUAAAGAAAGGUAGCUCAUGGCUCCGGUCGUGAGUGUUAUAGUCUUUUUCCUAUGCGGUAGGAGAGACUGAGGUCUGCAGUGUAGGCUAUUUGGCUAGAUACUCAGGUGCUAUGUGAUACCAUUUCAUAAACAACUUGUUGAUUAUGUUUUGUCUAUUGCAUACUCGCUUGUACUAUCAUACCUACGCUUAGGAUGUUGACUGAUAUGUAGUCGUA